GUGACUAACGGAUUGUUGAAAACAUGAUGAAUAUAAAUUGAGGAAAUUUCACUAAACCCCCUAAAUUUAUAUCAUUUUCGCAAUCUCUCCUUCAUGAUUUUGCUAAAUUUGCUCCAAGUCUAAGAGCAAUCACCUGGUCUAAGCCCAUAGUAAACAUAUGAUGAGCCCAAACAAGAAAUCCAAGAAUAGCUACACUGAUCAUGGCAUGUUUAUGUUGCUAACUCUGAAUUUGGACCUACUUCUGGUGGAAGAAAUGAAUAGCGAUGGAUUUCUAUGGAGCAUCCAAGAACAAGAAGAUUCAAUCAGACGACGUAUUCUUAGGUGGUUCAAGAAAAUCAAAGGUCUGCUUCCCUAUACUGUCCGUUGUUGUUCUAGAGGGACGGAGGAGGAUAGGUUAAGCGAAAGAUGGUUAUCAGUUCAAGGACGCAAUGGACUCCUGCUUUUUUAGGGUAAGAAGGGGUAGAGAGCGUGUGCCGACGACAGCAUCUUUAGUCUUCCUCCUACGCUCUCCGCUCUCCGCUCCCCUUCCGCCUCCGUUUUAUCCCCGAAGGUUUCGAGACAUUAGUAAGGCAUAUAUUGAACUUAGACUGUGACUGAGCUUGCACAGGCUGGAGUUCUUACCUUCUUGGAACUCCAUGGACCAAGAUCUGCUUUCAUUUUAUGGGCAAUACCGAUAAAUACUUUAAUAGAUCAUAUAGAUGCUUCUCAUUUUGGAGGAGUCAAGGAACUGACCCUCAUCAAAGCGGAUCCGGAUCCCCUCAGAUUUCUUAAAACCAAGUUUCUCAGAUUUCUUAAAUCUGCGUUUGCAUCAAAUCUGAGUUUCUCAGAUUUCCCCCCAAAAUCCACAUAUCCAGACGAGUCGACGGAUCAGCCACCAACAGACGCCGAGUAACGAACCACCGUACUUCCCCGAGGUUCGGGCGACGCCAAAUCGUGGACGGAAAGCACAGUGCGACGCCGGGUCACUACCGUCCCACAGCCACCGUACUUUGCUAAAGAACCACCACACGAUCUACAAGACAUUUUCUACAGACUUCACCAUUUGGAUAAUUAAUUUUGGGUGCCUUGGUGCCACAAGUUUUUGGUGCCAGUGGUGGUGAACUUUUUGUGUGGGUGAAGAAACAGAGGUGAAGGAAGUGUUUGACAAAAAGUCUCAGAGAAGCUGCGGGCAGAGUUCUGGAGAAGAGGAAGAGUAAGAAAACAAGCUCUGAUACCAUUAAUUUUGUGGGCUGUUGUGUUGUAUUUGACUUUAAUCAACAAUAUUCGCUUUAUGAAUUAACUUUUUGUUAUCUGACUUUAA